rnacentral:sRNA from 1 species
CCAGCUCCAAUAGCGUAUAUUAAAGUUGUUGCAGUUAAAAAGCUCGUAGUUGAACUUUGGGCCUGGGUGGCCGGUCCGAUUUUUUCGUGUACUGGAAUGCACCCGGGCCUUUCCUUCUGGCUAACCCCAAGUCCUUGUGGCUUGGCGGCGAACCAGGACUUUUACUUUGAAAAAAUUAGAGUGUUCAAAGCAGGCGUAUUGCUCGAAUAUAUUAGCAUGGAAUAAUGGAAUAGGACGUUUGGUUCUAUUUUGUUGGUUUCUAGGACCAUCGUAAUGAUUAAUAGGGACGGUCGGGGGCAUCAGUAUUCAAUUGUCAGAGGUGAAAUUCUUGGAUUUAUUGAAGACUAACUACUGCGAAAGCAUUUGCCAAAAUUGUGGAUCCGCUCUAGAGUCGACCUGCAGGCAUGCAAGCUUGGCGUA